UAAAUAUUCCUAAUCAGUUUGCUAUAUGGCUUCCAUAACUUGCGGGAGAAGUGUUUCUACACCUUUCUUGCCAAAGACAUGGUUCGCAAUUUGCCCGUGGCGCGAUUUAAUGGGAAGCAUACACCUACAUAUGGUACCUAUAGAGAGAAGAUCAAUCAAUCGAUCUAACCUAAAGGGUAUUUCUUUGUUAAUUUGGAGCCAGCGAAUAGAGAUAUUGUGUCCUACCUGAUAGGCGAGAUCUCGAGACCAUUGUAUCUAUAUGGAUAGACAUCUCGCGGAUCAACAAGAACCUUUCAAAACAGAUAAUUUCCGUUUGUCCUUUGACUUAAAAGGAUUUAUUUUUUCAUGUUAGCUUUUUAUGUGUAAAAAUAGCACCACUACUAUAGAAUGGUAAAUAAAGCAGAAAAAUU